rnacentral:tRNA from 1 species
UAAAAAGUAAGCUAAAUUUAAGCUUUUGGGUUCAUACCUCAACUAUAGGAAAAUCCCUCUUUUUAA